rnacentral:rRNA from 1 species
CAAAUUCCCUCGGCAACGGAUAUCUCGGCUCACGCAUCGAUGAAGAACGUAGCAAAAUGCGAUACUUGGUGUGAAUUGCAGAAUCCCGUGAACCAUCGAGUUUUUGAACGCAAGUUGCGCCCGAAGCCUUUUGGCUGAGGGCACGUCUGCCUGGGCGUCACAC